rnacentral:pre_miRNA from 1 species
CUUCUACUCUCUCCGUUCCGAAUUACUCGUUGCAGAAAUGGAUGUAUCUAGAUGUAUUUUAGUUCUAGAUACAUCCAUUUCUGCGACGAGUAAUUUGGAAUGGAGGGAGUAUGAA